CUUUUCCGCGCCGCCGAGUCGGAGCCGCGCCGCACGCCCAGCGGCCGCCCGGACCCGCCGGCCGGAGCUGACCCAGUGGGCCACGGGCUCCGGACUCCAGAACUUUCCAAGCGGGGGCAACUUGGCGGCGGGUAGGUAGGAAAGGCAGAUUGUUCCUGCCUGAUUCAUAAGCAUCGUGAUUGGCUUUUGAUUGCUGUCACGUCUAAUGUGGCUGCUGCCUCGUGUCACAUCUGAAACUCAUCUGUACCUCACUUAGAAAGUGGUUCUGAUUAGACAAGACUUUUCGUUGCAGUCGACAGAAACCUAAUGGGACCAUUGAAGAAUUCCAAACAGGUAUUUGCAUAGGAAUCAGAGGAGUUAAUCUUGUUUGAAUCUUCAGACAAACUUCUGGGAGGACUCGGUCCCUGCCUCGCAGCAGAUGUUCCCUGUCACUCAGUAGCCAAUCCGGGGGACCCAGGACAUGCCCCAGCUAUAGUGAUGCAGAUUACCUUUCUGCUCCUGAAUCGCACCUGUGCCUCAGACUUUCUCCCCUCAGCUUGAGACUGCAUGUAAACUG
rnacentral:sRNA from 1 species